rnacentral:rRNA from 1 species
UACGAAGGGGGCUAGCGGUGCUCGGAAUUACUGGGCGUAAAGCGCGCGUAGGCGGGUCGGUAAGUCGGGGGUGAAAUCCUGGAGCUCAACUCCAGAACUGCCUUCGAUACUGGCGAUCUUGAGUCCGGGAGAGGUGAGUGGAACUCCGAGUGUAGAGGUGAAAUUCGUAGAUAUUCGGAAGAACACCAGUGGCGAAGGCGGCUCACUGGCCCGGUACUGACGCUGAGGUGCGAAAGCGUGGGGAGCAAACAGG